rnacentral:rRNA from 1 species
ACGGGAGGCAGCAGUGGGGAAUCUUCCGCAAUGGGCGAAAGCCUGACGGAGCAACGCCGCGUGAGUGAAGAAGGUCUUCGGAUCGCAAAGCUCUGUUGAGAGGGACGAGAGAUAACUUCAGGAAAUGGGAGUUAGAGGACGGUACCUUUCGAGGAAGCCACGGCUAACUACGUGCCAGCAGCCGCGGUAAUACGUAUGUGGCGAGCGUUGUCCGGAAUUAUUGGGCGUAAAGGGAGCGCAGGUGGGAAAGUAAGUCAGUCUUAAAAGUGCGGGGCUCAACCCCGUGAUGGGAUUGAAACUACUUUUCUUGAGUGCAGGAGAGGAAAGCGGAAUUCCUAGUGUAGCGGUGAAAUGCGUAGAUAUUAGGAGGAACACCAGUGGCGAAGGCGGCUUUCUGGACCAAAACUGACGUUGAGGCGCGAAAGUGUGGGGAGCAAACAGGAUUAGAUACCCUGGUA